GAUGAACGCUGGCGGCGUGCCUAAUACAUGCAAGUCGAGCGAACAGAUGAGGAGCUUGCUCCUCUGACGUUAGCGGCGGACGGGUGAGUAACACGUGGAUAACCUACCUAUAAGACUGGGAUAACUUCGGGAAACCGGAGCUAAUACCGGAUAAUAUAUUGAACCGCAUGGUUCAAUAGUGAAAGACGGUUUUGCUGUCACUUAUAGCUGGAUCCGCGCCGCAUUAGCUAGUUGGUAAGGUAACGGCUUACCAAGGCAACGAUGCGUAGCCGACCUGAGAGGGGGAUCGGCCACACUGGAACUGAGACACGGUCCAGACUCCUGCGGGAGGCAGCAGUAGGGAACCUUCCGCAAUGGGCGAAAGCCUGACGGAGCAACGCCGCGUGAGUGAUGAAGGUCUUCGGAUCGUAAAACUCUGUUAUUAGGGAAGAACAAAUGUGUAAGUAACUAUGCACGUCCUGACGGUACCUAAUCAGAAAGCCACGGCUAACUACGUG
rnacentral:rRNA from 1 species